rnacentral:tRNA from 1 species
GGCGGCAUAGCCAAGUGGUAAGGCAGAGGGCUGCAAAACCUUUAUUCCCCAGUUCGAAUCUGGGUGCCGCCUCCA